UAAGCUAAAAAGAGCAACUUACAUAUAUUUCUAAUUUUCAAGAAGACAAUAAAUAAAUUGUUUUUUUAAUUUAACUUGUCUAAAUAUUAUGUGCAGUGGUCUUUAUUUUGUGAAUUACGAAAUUCGAUAUACCCCAAAUUUUGUUCCAUAAAUUUAAAAAAAAUUAUGAUAAACUUUAAGUGCCACAAAAGUGUUGAAGUUUUAUGAACCGAGGAUAAAUUUUAAUUUAUUGCAUGUACUUUCUUAAAUAUUACACAAAAAAACAUGUAAAACAAUUGUCGUAG